UACGUAGGGUGCAAGCGUUAAUCGGAAUUACUGGGCGUAAAGCGUGCGCAGGCGGUCCGCUAAGACAGAUGUGAAAUCCCCGGGCUUAACCUGGGAACUGCAUUUGUGACUGGCGGGCUAGAGUAUGGCAGAGGGGGGUAGAAUUCCACGUGUAGCAGUGAAAUGCGUAGAGAUGUGGAGGAAUACCGAUGGCGAAGGCAGCCCCCUGGGUUAAUACUGACGCUCAUGCACGAAAGCGUGGGGAGCAAACAGG
rnacentral:rRNA from 1 species